AAGAUGGAGGACUAUUGUCAUCACCUACUCAUUUCCUGCUGGAAGUCUGAAGGGGGUUUCAUAUGAAGCUCAAGAAUUCACUGAAUAUUUGCCAUUGACUGAUGAUGGACUGCUAUGUUUCAACUUACUCAGACAAGCAUUCAAUGCAGGAUUGAUUUUCAAGAUUCAGGAAGUUGGUGACAGAAGAGGAAAAAUUGUUAGGAACGAUGAGUUUCCUCAUAAGACUAAGAAAACUGGAGGACCAGGAAACAAUGGAUAUCCAGAUCCAAACCAUACAAAGAAACUGAAAGAAGCAUUGGAGGCAAAAGGAUUCAAGUAUGAUGAACGGAUUCCCUUCGCAUGGUACUGAAGUUGACGACAUCCAGAAAGAUUUCCUACAACACUGAUUGUACUGUUCCCUGCAUAGGAUACUGGAAUUGCUUCAUUAAAUUUACAUCAAAUGCCAAAACAAUAUUACCAUUGCAGCCAUUGUGCAAAUUAUGUUCUUGAUCAAAUAUUACAAAUAACAAAGUUUCAUAUUAAGAAUUGUAUUUGUGCCAUUUGUGUAAGGCGAAUUGACAAAUAAGUAAAAUGCCCUAUGCGGCUGAAGCUUAGGACUUAACUGCGCUGGCAUCGUCGAUUACACA